rnacentral:rRNA from 1 species
GACGAACGCUGGCGGCGUGCUUAACACAUGCAAGUCGAACGGACAGGCCCUGCUUUUGUGGGGUGCUCGAGUGGCGAACGGGUGAGUAACACGUGUGUAACCUGCCCUUGACUUUGGGAUAACUUCAGGAAACUGGGGCUAAUACCGGAUAGGAGCUCCUGCUGCAUGGUGGGGGUUGGAAAGUUUCGGCCGUUGUGGAUGGACUCGCAGCUUAUCAGCUUGUUGGUGGGGUAGUGGCUUACGAAGGGUUUGACGGGUAGCCGGCCUGAGAGGGUGACCGGCGACAAUGGGCCUAAGAGAGGGACCAGAAGCGAACGGGAGGCAGUGGGCGGGAGUAUGGCAGAGUGGCGGGAAGCGUGAGGUGACAGCGUCGCGUGCGGAAUGCCGGGCUUCGAGGUGUGAACCGAUGUCGACUGUGACGUAGAGGGAGUGACGGUAAUGGAUAAAGAAGCAACGGCUAACUACGUG